CUACCUGUAACUAGAAUGUAGGGAAUUGUGUGAAACCAUGACAUACCAUAUUUUAAAGGAAUAUGCACAUGAAAUGUGGACUCAUCACCACAGACGUGGGUUUCACGUGAUUUCCUGCACAGAAGUCUUUUCCUUAUAGGAAAUGGGUGGAAAUCUCAGAAACUCUAAUUCUGGAAUCAUUGUGAUACGGAUUCAAUUUGACUCUUCCUUCAUUGCACCAUUCUUACUUAGGGGUCUUUGAUAGUUUCUGGGCUAAUUUCCUCCUCUGAUGGGCUACUUACAUGCUCCACUUUCCACACCCUCAUGAGCUACAGACUGGCUGCAUUCACACGGCAGUGUAUUCCAUUUCCUCAACAUUUCCCUAAGUGUUAAUUUCCACCUUACAUUUGAGCCUUUGCACAACAGCAGUGCCACUUCUGGAAAUACAGCAGAAUACAGCACAAGUUUAGUUCACAUUUCCAUGUUAUUUGCAAACAUAUUCUUUUUUCUGGAAGUAAAUAACAUAGGAAUGAAUGCUAAACUUCCAAUGAAUUCUGUUAUACUGCAUUUCUGGAAGUGGUGUUGAUGUUGUGUGAAGUCUCAAAUAUAAUGUGGAAAGUAUAACAGUUAGGGAAAUGGAAUAUGCAUUAAAUAGCAGUGUGAAUGCAGCCUGUGAGUCCUCCCCAUUCUAAGAAUCUCACUCUGUCACAAGUGACAUCUAUUUUUGUCUCUCACUUUAAAUACAAAGCUACAGGUGUUCAUGCUUUGGCUGAACCCAGUAAUGGUGGCUAUCUGGACAAAUGCUCCGUCUGGCUGACGGAGGCAAGCUUGCUAUGAAUAAGUGGAGCAGAUCGAUAGGUAGAACCAGAUCAAUUGAAUUCCAGUUGCAUUUGAUGUAUCGUCGGAGAAUCAACAUCAAGAAUCAGACCUAUGAAUCUUAACUUACAAAUGUGUUUGCACUUCCACAUUAUGUGUAGGCUACUAUCUAAUAAAUAUAUUUAAUCUAAUCCUGACCAAGUAGUCUGGUGGAGUGGAGGUAAUGAAUGACAGUGUCGAUCACGCUGAAGGGAAGAGAAAUUUCCAGUGAGAGAUGAUGGGUCUCAAAAAAAUGGCUGUGGUCCAACAGGGUCCUAGGAAAUCUAAUUUGCUCGCUUCUCAGACGCAUGAUGUGGAUUGGUUCCCAGCAAAAUUGUUCAUAUGUAUGAAGGUGUGGUGCCAGAAUAAGCCAUGCAGGUAACAUUUUACACCUUGCAAUAACAUUCCAAUAUGCAUUAUUUUGACACAGUGUGUAUAGCUGGAGCCAUGAACAGUGGAGAAACACACACACAAUCACAUGGUAAAGAACCUUAUGUGCGCCAGCUCUGCCUUAUAAACCCCAUAGUACUAAUUAUAUGGUGCUACUGUAUAUUUGCCCAUAAAGCAGGCAUAGGCAAACUUGGUCCUCCAGAUGUUGUGAACUACAAUUCCCAUCACCCCUGACCACUGGUCCUGUUAGCUAGGAAUGAUGGGAGUUGUAGUCCCAAAAACAUCUGGAGGGCUGAGUUUGCCUAUGCCUGCCAUAAAGCAUUUUUU